rnacentral:rRNA from 1 species
GACGAACGCUGGCGGCGUGCUUAACACAUGCAAGUCGAACGGAAAGGCCCUGCUUUUGUGGGGUGCUCGAGUGGCGAACGGGUGAGUAACACGUGAGUAACCUGCCCUUGACUUUGGGAUAACUUCAGGAAACUGGGGCUAAUACCGGAUAGGAGCUCCUGCUGCAUGGUGGGGGUUGGAAAGUUUCGGCGGUUGGGGAUGGACUCGCGGCUUAUCAGCUUGUUGGUGGGGUAGUGGCUUACCAAGGCUUUGACGGGUAGCCGGCCUGAGAGGGUGACCGGCGACAUUGGGACUGAGAGACGGCCCAGACGCCAACGGGAGGCAGCAGGGGGGAAUAUUGCACAGUAGGCGGAAGCGUGAGGCAGAAACGCCGCGUGCGGGAUGACGGCCUGCGGGUUGUAAACCGCUUUCGCCUGUGACGAAGCGUGAGUGACGGUAAUGGGUAAAGAAGCACCGGCUAACUACGUG